rnacentral:rRNA from 1 species
ACGAAGGUGGCUAGCGUUGUUCGGUGUCACUGGGCUUAAAGCGCUCGUAGGCGGAACCGUAAGUGUCUUGUGAAAUCCCCCGGCUUAACCGGGGAAUGGCUAGGCAUACUGCGGUUCUUGAGGCAAACAGGGGUGCAUGGAACUCUUGGUGGAGCGGUGGAAUGCGUAGAUAUCAAGAGGAACGCCGAUGGUGAAGACAAUGCACUGGGUUUGUCCUGACGCUGAGGAGCGAAAGCGUGGGGAGCAAACAG